rnacentral:misc_RNA from 1 species
UUCCAAGGCAAAAAUCUGAGUUGAGUCCCCAUUUGAUUCAGGUUCUUGUAGGCAGAGCUAACUGUGAAGACACCUUUUGCUAUGAUGAAUCCACCUAAGAGUGUCUUCUCCCUCUUUCAAUCCUCGAAAAUGGUCCAGGGUGCCAUAAUUCAGCUAGUCUAUCCACCUCCAAUCAUGAGUUUUGACUUCAUUUACUAGGGAAAUUAUG